AGGAAUAAAAGAAUCACAGCUAACUACAAAAGGUAGUGCCUGCUUGCAGAUCAGGGCUGUCAUCAGAAAGCCCUCACUGCGGGGCAGACUUGUCAAAGGAUUGUUUUCCCGAAUGUUGAGAGGUCUCACCUGGAGUAAACAUGUGGAAUUCACACAGAUGGGAUACGAGCUGUGAAAAGCGGGAGGAGAGAUUCACUACAGCCUGAACAGCUGCUGGGAGAACUUUGCAACUAAAACUCACCUUGGAACGAGUGAAGGGAGCGAAAAGAGGACACAGUUGUCAGGGACACAUUCAGAAACUGACAUCGAGUGCUGCUGGAAGGUCAUCAACUCGGUGAAAGAUGCCCUUUGAUCUGCCCGAGCAUUGUUCACCACCCAGCAGAGUGAGAUGUCCGUCAGGGAAUGUUGCCGACUGGCCCGCUGCAGACUGCAGGAGUACAUGCUGAGGGACGCACUGAAGCUCGGUGCAGCCAGCGCCAUGGGUCGGAGGGGGAGGACCACAGUCUAGGGUCCUUCCGCUGCUGUACAUGGGGGCACGGUAUGGUGGAGACGCCCCUCAAAAUAAGGGAAGGUAUCCCACGCCAGGGGGCCACAUGAGUGGCACGGGUGGGGGACAGAUUUGUGAAAUUUGAGAAAUGUUUACACUGUAUUGAACAAUUUGUAUAGCCUCCGAAAUUGUCGGAUGAAUUUUUCUCACGGUUCAUGUAUUGUAUAUAUUUAUUACCUGAAUAAAGUCUAUUUUGAAUUUGUUUUUAAUUAAUUGAGAGAUAUAAAGCACCCAGGUUUUUAUCUGCAGCACUGGAGGUCCUGGUGGUGGAGUUUGAAAGGAGGAGCGUAAUCUAGUAUCUCAAUGAAGAGGGAGGAAGCUGGCAGGAGUGCUAGGGCAGGUGAAAUCAGCAGGGAAUCCUCCACAAAUAUAAUCAGUCGGCAGCAAAAAUAAAGAACGUCAGAGCUCAAUUCAAAGAUUUGGAACAUUUGUCAUAAGGUCAUAGGAAUCAGGCCAUGCAGCCCAUCAAGUCUACUCCGCCCAAUCAUGGCUGAUCUAUCUCUCCCUCCUAAUCCCAUUCUCCUGCCUUCUCCCCAUAACCUCUGACAAUUGUACUAUCAAGAAUCGAUCUAUCUCUGCCUUAAAAAUAUCCACUGACUUGGCCUCCAUAGCCUUCUGUGACAAAAUAAAUUUCUCCUCAUCUCCUUCCUAAAAGAACGUCCUUUAAUUCUGAGGCUAUGACCUCUAGUCCUAGAAUCUCCCACUAGUGGAAACAUCCUAUCCACAUCCACUCUCUCCAAGCCGUUCACAAUUCUGUGUGUUUCAAUGAGGUCUCCCCUCAUUCUUCUAAACUCCAGCGAGUACAGGCCCGGUGCUGACGAACGCUCAUGUGGUAACCUACUAAUUCUGUAAGCCUCCUCUGGACCCUUUUCAGAGCCAGCAUUUCCUUCCUCAGAUAUGGUGCACAAAAUUGCUCACAAUAUCUUGUGAUCUAGUAACUGAUCAUGCUUCCUGAAUACAUCUUGGACGGUUAUUUAUUCAGACCAUACUGAAAAUUAAAUACCAAUAUCAUUUAGUCACUUCAAUGUCCAUCCAUCCAGAUUAGUUUCUAUGCUUCACCUCAGCCACACCUUCUAUUGGAGUGAAUUGUGUGUUUAACCUGUCUGUAAAUUAAUUGUCAGUAUGGAGGUCGGUGGGAGUGCAGUGAGUCAGCUGCCCGGCCACCAGCGUGUUUGUUAUUUCGAUUUUCUUAGUUUUUUUUGGUGUGCCUAAUGUUAG